rnacentral:tRNA from 1 species
GCCCCAGCUGCCUAAUGGAUAAGGCACUGGCCUCCUAAGCCAGGGAUUGUGGGUUCAAGUCCCAUCUGGGGUG